rnacentral:snoRNA from 1 species
UGGUCAUUACCAAGGCUUUUAGAAUGCAGUUUCUCAUUUGCUGUGGACAUGACCAUAAAGAAAAAUUCCCAUGAGGUUUUUCAUAUGCU